CUGUGGCGAGAGGAUUCAGUCUGUUUCGGCGGACGUUCUCGGGGAAAAUGCGGGGCAGGGCUUCCUCUUCACGAGGGCCGUCCUUGGGAACGACCUCAACCGUCUCAGACGCAUUUGACUCUCGCACCGAGGACGCUGCAGCCGGUCUGGAAGUGCAAGCGCGACGGCCUGAAAGUCGGGAGCCGGCAGGUGGCCGGUGGUCCGCCUCGUGCGGGCUAUCGGUUGUUAGCCUUCUCGUCGGUGGCUCGUCUCCAGACCGUGGUUCGCGAGUCCCUUCGGGGACUCUCCGUCUCCACCCAGAGUUCAGCGGGACAGGGCCCGGCCAGGGUCUCUGGCGUCGACCGUCGCACCUUCCACGGAGUGGGCGGACGACCCCGAGGCCCGAAUCGCCGGGACGGAUCCGCGGGGGACUGGAGGCUGGCAGCGAGUAGGUCGGUCACCCACCCGACCCGUCUUGAAACACGGACCAAGGAGUCUAACAUGUGCGCGAGUCAAUGGGUCUUGAACAGGCCCAUGGGCGCAAUGAAAGCGAAAGGCCGCCGAGCGCGGCCCUAGCGGGGAUCCCCGGCCCCACAAGGUCGGGGCGCACCCGCGACCCGUCCUAUCCGGCUCGCCGGUUGGGCGGAGUCUGAGCGUACACGUUGGGACCCGAAAGAUGGUGAACUAUGCCCGGACAGGACGAGGCCAGAGGAAAC
rnacentral:rRNA from 1 species